rnacentral:rRNA from 1 species
CAAACUGCAAAAGGGACAUAUAACUUCACCUCUAUCGAGUCAUCACAUUGCUCAACCCAAUUAGAUCUCGAGAAUCUUGGAGGAGCUAGCAAGAAUCAAGGAGAAACAUCAGUUGAUGGUGAGAAUCUUGGAGGAGAAAGGGUGCAGAUUGAUGAAGAUGUUGAGGAGGUUUACGUGCAAGAAAACAUUGAUGUGGAGCCCGAGCAAACUCAACCAAAUUUGGCUACUGCACCCUCAAGAAAUGGAGAAGAGAAAGAACCAAAGAGAAGGAGGGGGGCGAAUGGUGAUGUGGCUGCAAUGAUGGAGAAGUACUUGGACAUAAGGACGAAGCAGGUGGAGGAUGAGAGGAAUAAGCCAAAGGUCGUGGAUGAGUACUCUAUCAAAAACUGCAUUGAUCUGCUGAAAACAAUGGAGAUCACACUUGAAGAAGAAGUCAAGGCUUUCCGAGUCUUCAAGAUCCCCGAGAACCGAGAGAUUUUC